GUUGUUGCAAUGGUAAUCCUGCUCAGUACGAGAGGAACCGCAGGUUCGGACAAUAAGCACACGUGCUUGGUCGAGCGGCCAAUGGUGCGAAGCUACCAUUCGUGGGACUAUGACUGAACGCCUCUAAGUCAGCAUCCCGUCCAGAUCUGCAACGAUACCUUGGCGCCUCCUUGUUGUUCGGCAAAAACACGCUCAGCUUCACCGCAGAGCCGUGCUAUGCCACACUGAUGGAGCCUUGCGCCAAACUAGCGAUGUAACUACGCUAGCUCGGCCGGCUUCUGGUCACACACCAGAUAAACGUGAAGGCGAAAAAUCGUCGGUAGACGACCUAAAUACCGGUCGGGGUAUCUGUUGAGACUCAUCCUUUGACCGGAAGAUUU
rfam:Hypsibius dujardini strain Z151 scaffold0252, whole genome shotgun sequence.